AUUGAACGCUGGCGGCAGGCCUAACACAUGCAAGUCGAGCGAGCGGCGGAUGGGUGAGUAAUGUCUGGGAACCUGCCUGAUGGAGGGGGAUAACUACUGGAACCGGUAGCUCAUACCGCAUACCAUCAGAUCUGCCCAGAUGGGAUUAGCUAGUAGGUGGGGUAACGGCUCACCUAGGCGACGAUCCCUAGCUGGUCUGGGAGGAUGACCAGCCACACGGGAACGGAGACACGGUCCAGACUCCUACGGGAGGAAGCAGUGGGGAAUAUUGCACAAUGGGCGAAAGCCUGAUGCAGCCAUGCCGCGUGUGUGAAGAAGGCCUUCGGGUUGUAAAGCACUUUCAGCGGGGAGGCGUUACCCGCAGAAGAAGCACCGGCUAACUCCGUGCCAGCAGCCGCGGUAAUUC
rnacentral:rRNA from 1 species